CUAUUACGUUCCUCUUGUGGACACUCGCGGAUUUAACGAAUUAUCAAAACAAAUCCGAUUCUUAACGAAUUGCACACGACAUGUGUACUCUACUCCAUUUAGAUUCUGCCACACCGUUUAUUGUAAUUUUUACAUGGCCUUAUACUCUAUGGUGCUAUACAUCAAACACAGUAAACACGCCGACGUUUCAUAGCAGGCUGAGAUUGUGCGACUGCUGCGAUCGAUCGCGAGAGUCAGAAACACGAGCGAUGUAUACCUAUAUGCAGCGUAGAGACAAGACUCCUUGUCGACACCAUUAUGUUACAAAUGAAAGAAUAUUUCCGAACAAUAGUUUCGUUCCUUUCAACAGGAGGUGAAACGGAAAUCCAUUGAACAGAUCGAUAAACAAAGUUUUUAAAAUAUGAAACUUUGUGGUAGACGGUGCUGCCACGAGUACUUUCAAAUCGAUAGCGCGGGAGACAUUUUCACAAGAUUAUCGAUUAUAUGCUUAUUUUGUGAAAAUAUAAAACUUCGAUUAACAAUUUUGCAAAGUUGUCACGUGCAUUUUGUAUUUUAUAUAAUUUAAUUGUAUCAAAUUCGUACAAGCAUGGUAUAAUAUAUCUUGAAUAAUUAUUCGGUAUAUAUUAUAUAUAUGUCUAUGUUUAUAAACCAUGUUUAUUGAAUCGUUAAAAAAAUUGAAUCACGUUUUAUAAAACUAUUUUUACUAUAUCUAUUCGGUAUUGAAUAGCAUAACAAUAUGAAUAAUUCGUGAAAUAUAAAAUGUUUAUUUUCGAGUGAAAGUUUACAACUUUGCAUCAACAACUUCUAUUAUCAUUAUUGUAUUAUAUAAACGUUCAUAUUUACAACAUAUAUUAAAAAAUCAUAAUAUUAUGUAAUUUGUUGGAUUCAAUAAUAUUUGACACUUGUUAAUUCUUUUUGAUACAUUCUACAUUUCGUCAUUUGUACCUGAGUGGACUACUUUCUUUUUGUCUGCUGUACAUUUUUCUAUUUGUCGUUCUUAAGCUAGAAGUUUCAAUUAUUUAGGAUUUCACUCGAAUACAUAGCACCAUAUAGACUGUUAAAUAAACAAAGUAACCAUUCAUAAUUUUGAAUUAUGUUUUAAUUGGAAAUUACUGAUAAAAUACUUGAAAUGAAAUCUUAUUUGUACGAAAAUAUACAGAACGAUAACAGUAGUUAUCGAAAUAAUAUGUAAAUACAUUUGUUAAUCAAACUCUAUUUUAUAUUUAUAUUUGCUUUCCACAUUUUAUGCUUUCGAUAAACUGUCCAUAAAAAAUAUCGUUUUUACUGAUUGAAAAUUAAUUAUAAUUAAUCAAUACAAUGUAUUACAAUUUUGAAUCAUUAUGUUCCUCUGAUUUAUAUAUAUAUAUGUAAGUGAUAUAUACGAUGUCUGCUAAACAUUUAUAGCAUUUUUGUUUUAGAAAAUAUAAAGAGAUAGGUAAUAUUUAUUAUUUCAAAUUUUGUUCAUAAAACUUUUUAUUUUGAUAGAAAUCUUCUAUUUGUUUUAUUUUUUAUAUAGUUAUAAUUAUUUAACGACAUUAUAGAAUAGUUCCAUAAUUAUUAUGUGAGCUUAAAAUAUAUAUAAAAAUUCACUAUAUAUAAAAUAGAUCAUGUAUAAUUUAAAAACGUAUUUUAUUGUAGCAUUAUUUAUUUUUAUGCUAUUUUCUUAAAAUUGCCUAGAAACGCGUGUUUAGUGGGAAAAUGAUAUAAUCUCGAGAAUGAAGAAAAUACUGUUUACUGAUAGUAAUUUGUAAUAAAUGUAGCUAAAACAAUAAAUAAUGUGUUUAUUUUAUUAGUGUGAUGAAUGUAUAAUUUAAUGUAAAAAAAUAUUUUGGAGGUAGUAAUAUUAUAUUAUGAAAGAGAUUAUAAGCAAUUGCAAGAUAUUAUGUGGAAAGCAAAUUGAUGCUUUGUAUAUAUUUACAUUUAUUUUUAAAAAACAUUUGUGUACUGUAUAAAUCAGACUUAAUCACGCAUUCACAUACACACGUGCGUGCGCAUGCACACACACGCCCGCACGCACACAUAUAAUAUGCAGCUUUUAAAGAGCAUGCAUAUAUUAAAUAAUAUAGGAUUAUGCCCUGUAAUACGACCAACUCAGUUUUCUGAUAUAAAUCAAGAGUAUUAAUAAUACCGAUUUAAAGAAUCUUGUAAACUCGUAAAAUAAUCUAUACGAAAGUAAGUAGUUAGUAACGAGAAGCUCGUAUAAAUACUACUAUAAUGCUUUGAGAUAAGACAAUGAGAAAAUAUAUUAAAAUAUUAGAGUAUAAUUUUCAAAUGAAAUCUUGUACAAAGCUGAAAAGCCAGGGAAGAUAUUUUUUAUAUAUAAAGGAGGGCUCAAGAAAUGAAACAUAAGAUAAAAUAUUUACUUAUACAAAAUCACUUGGAUGCCCUUUGUGCUGUAAUAGUUUUAAGUUGCUGUUUAUAUAU
rnacentral:lncRNA from 1 species